rnacentral:rRNA from 1 species
AACGCGAAGAACCUUACCAGGUCUUGACAUCCUCUGACACUCCUAGAGAUAGGACGUUCCCCUUCGGGGGACAGAGUGACAGGUGGUGCAUGGUUGUCGUCAGCUCGUGUCGUGAGAUGUUGGGUUAAGUCCCGCAACGAGCGCAACCCUUGAUCUUAGUUGCCAGCAUUUAGUUGGGCACUCUAAGGUGACUGCCGGUGACAAACCGGAGGAAGGUGGGGAUGACGUCAAAUCAUCAUGCCCCUUAUGACCUGGGCUACACACGUGCUACAAUGGAUGGUACAAAGGGCAGCGAAGCCGCGAGGUGGAGCCAAUCCCAUAAAACCAUUCUCAGUUCGGAUUGUAGGCUGCAACUCGCCUACAUGAAGCUGGAAUCGCUAGUAAUCGCGGAUCAGCAUGCCGCGGUGAAUACGUUCCCGGGCCUUGUA